rnacentral:rRNA from 1 species
UGGGGAAUCUUCCGCAAUGGGCGAAAGCCUGACGGAGCGACGCCGCGUGAGCGAAGAAGGCCUUCGGGUCGUAAAGCUCGAUAGUGUGGGAAGAAGGAAUGACGGUACCACACGAAAGCCCCGGCUAACUACGUGCCAGCAGCCGCGGUAAGACGUAGGGGGCGAGCGUUGUCCGGAGUUACUGGGCGUAAAGGGCGCGUAGGCGGUUUAGCAAGUCAGGUGUAAAAGACCACGGCUCAACCGUGGAGGUGCACCUGAAACUGCUAGGCUAGAGGGCAGGAGAGGGGAGUGGAAUUCCCGGUGUAGCGGUGAAAUGCGUAGAUAUCGGGAGGAAUACCAGUGGCGAAGGCGACUCCCUGGACUGGCCCUGACGCUGAGGCGCGAGAGCGUGGGGAGCAAACA